AUACGGAGGGUGCAAGCGUUGUUCGGAAUUACUGGGCGUAAAGCGCGCGUAGGCGGUCUGUUAUGUCAGAUGUGAAAGUCCUCGGCUCAACCGGGGAAGUGCAUUUGAAACUGGCAGACCUGAGUACUGGAGGGGGUGGUGGAAUUCCCGGUGUAGAGGUGAAAUUCGUAGAUAUCGGGAGGAAUACCGGUGGCGAAGGCGACCACCUGGCCAGAUACUGACGCUGAGGUGCGAAAGCGUGGGGAGCAAACAGGAUUAGAAACCCGAGUAGUCC
rnacentral:rRNA from 1 species